UGGCUCAGAACGAACGCUGGCGGCAUGCCUAACACAUGCAAGUCGAACGAAGGCUUCGGCCUUAGUGGCGCACGGGUGCGUAACGCGUGGGAAUCUGCCCUCUGGUACGGAAUAACUCAGGGAAACUUGAGCUAAUACCGUAUAAUGACUUCGGUCCAAAGAUUUAUCGCCUGAGGAUGAGCCCGCGUCGGAUUAGCUAGUUGGUGAGGUAAAGGCUCGCCAAGGCGACGAUCCGUAGCUGGUCUGAGAGGAUGAUCAGCCACACUGGGACUGAGACACGGCCCAGACUCCUACGG
rnacentral:rRNA from 1 species